GAUGAACGCUGGCGGCGUGCCUAACACAUGCAAGUCGAGCGGAAGGACGAUAAGCUUGUGUCUUUGAUGUUUGCGGAGGGCGGGUGUGUAACACGUGGAUCACCCACUUAUCUGUCUGGGAACAUCACGGGAAACCGGAUAUAAUACCGGAGGAUCUUUUGAACCGUAUGGUUCAAUGGAGAAAGACGGCCUUGCUGUAUGUACUAGCUGGUUACGCGCUGCAUUAGCUAGUUGGUAGGGUAACGGCUUACCAAGGCAACGAUGCGUAGCCGAGGGGUGAGGAUGAUCGGCCACACGGGAACUGAGACACGGUCCUGACUCCUACGGGAGGGAGCAGUAGGGAAUCGUCGGCAGUGGGCGAAAGCCUGACGGAGCAACGCCGCGUGUGUGAUGAAGGUCUUCGGAUCGUAAAGCUCUGUUAUGGGGGAAGAACAGAUGUGGAAUGAGCUGUGGACAUCGUGACGGUACCUAAUCAAGAAGCCACGGCUAACUACGUG
rnacentral:rRNA from 1 species